rnacentral:lncRNA from 1 species
AAUAAUUAAAAUGCCCUCUCAACGACCAGCUGGUGCAGGACCACCCCAACGGUCAUCUCUCUCUUCCAACGUAAAAGAAAAGAAAAAGGGGAGAAUUAAAGAUUUUUCCACUCCCCAAAAUCUGGAUCCCACUAGCCAGAUUCUCUAGUUGGCAAUUAGGAAAAACCUACUACUCUCUUCUCUCAGGACUCACAGAAAAAACAAAAAGAAUUCAUUCAUUACUAACCCACUAUUCUCUCUACUCACGUCUCUCUCUCUUUCCACUCCCUCUCACUCACCUUCACCCCACUCAUAACUAACCCAUUAACUCUCUCCUCUCUAUCUCUGAGUAAAGAAAAAACGAGAAUAAAGAAAAAGAAAAAAGAAAACCACAACACUACAUCACCCUCUACAGCCACCGCAAUUUCAUCUUCUCCUCUUCCCCACCAUCACAAACCCGUCGCACUCCAUCACCCUUCCAAAUCACCACCGCCACAUCACCGCCAACCUCCGCCGUUCUCAAACACAACCACCAAACUUCCACCUUCAC